rnacentral:rRNA from 1 species
UACGGGGGGGCAAGCGUUGUUCGGAAUUACUGGGCGUAAAGGGCGCGUAGGCGGUCAGACCAAGUCGAGUGUGAAAUUCCAGGGCUUAACUCUGGCACGCUCGCUCGAUACUGGUCGGCGUAGAGUGUGGAAGAGGAUGGCUGGAAUUCCGGUGUAGCGGUGAAAUGCGUAGAUAUCGGGAGGAACACCAGUGGCGAAGGCGGGACAUCGUGGGCCAACACUGACGCUGAGGCGCGAAAGCUAGGGGAGCAAACAGGG